rnacentral:misc_RNA from 1 species
GAUGAAGAACGUAGCGAAAUGCGAUAAGUAAUGUGAAUUGCAGAAUUCAGUGAAUCAUCGAAUCUUUGAACGCACCUUGCACCCUUUGGACUGCUCCAAAGGGUAUGCUCGUUUGAGUGUCAUUGUACUCUCACACUCUCUGAUCCUUUGGAUUUGGGGAGCAGUGGACUUGGGUGCUUGCUGCUUCCUUGUGGCUCACCUGAAAUGCAUCAGUGCAUCUCUCGAUUGGACAUAGUACGGCGUGAUAAGUGUCUUCGCCGGCACCUCAUAUGAGGGUGGCCGAUCGGGAGCUCUGUGCUUUCAAACCGUCUUCGGACAACGCUGACAACUUGACCUCAAAUCGAGUAGGACUACCCGCUGAACUUAAGCAUAUCAAUAGCGGAGG